UACUCCAUCCAGCCCAACCUUCCUUGCCCACUCCUCUCGAUCCCAUCGUUCGUGGCCGCCGCCGUCCGAGGGGAGUCGCCGCCGCCGCGUCUCUCGAUCCCAUCGGCCCCGUCGGAUCUCGCCGCUGGCGGACGACUCGAGAAGACCCCGCCGGAUCUCGCCCUCGUCAUCAGUUCUGGAUCGCCGCCGCCGCCGAUCCCCUCGGGAAAACAACGCCGAUCCCCUGCUCGCCCACGCACGCUGCCGCGGAUGAAGGCCGCCUGCUCGCGAUCCCCAAACCUGCUGGCGCCGCGCUCCGUAGGAUCCAAGUACGCCCCUCUCCGUGGUGUUCACUGAUUGCUUGGAGCAACAACGUGCUGUUGGAGUUGCCGAAGCAUUAGGUGAUUCGAUUGUGUGCGUUUGCUGGAUUUGUUUGACGAAGGAAAGAUGACGAUGAAGGACACACAGAGGAGUGUGAGCGGUGAUGGUACCAAGGUUACCGGCAGGUAUGCAUGCAGGAACUGACUGUACAGUGUUCCUAUAAUGCUACUGGUUUUAACGUCUGUACUGUGAUGCUACUGGCAGUUUAAAUAAAUCUGCUAUCAUUUGGGAUGUGAGUUGUCACAACUCGCUGUGCUCUGGUGUUCAGCUCAGAAUUUCUUUUGGGAAUGAUU